rnacentral:siRNA from 1 species
UUCGGGUCUGUUCGCCGAAGAUA